UACGUAGGGAGCAAGCGUUGUCCGGAAUCAUUGGGCGUAAAGCGCGCGUAGGUGGCCUCAUAAGUCCGCUGUGAAAGUCAAAGGCUCAACCUUUGAAAGCCGGUGGAUACUGUGAGGCUAGAGUCCGGAAGAGGCGAGUGGAAUUCCUGGUGUAGCGGUGAAAUGCGCAGAUAUCAGGAGGAACACCGAUGGCGAAGGCAGCUCGCUGGGACGGUACUGACGCUGAGACGCGAAAGCGUGGGGAGCGAACAGG
rnacentral:rRNA from 1 species